CUCAUGACGAACGCUGGCGGCGUGCUUAACACAUGCAAGUCGAACGGAAAGGCCCUGCUUUUGUGGGGUGCUCGAGUGGCGAACGGGUGAGUAACACGUGAGUAACCUGCCCUUGACUUUGGGAUAACUUCAGGAAACUGGGGCUAAUACCGGAUAGGAGCUCCUGCUGCAUGGUGGGGGUUGGAAAGUUUCGGCGGUUGGGGAUGGACUCGCGGCUUAUCAGCUUGUUGGUGGGGUAGUGGCUUACCAAGGCUUUGACGGGUAGCCGGCCUGAGAGGGUGACCGGCCACAUUGGGACUGAGAUACGGCCCAGACUCCUACGGGGGGCAGCAGUGGGGAAUAUUGCACAAUGGGCGGAAGCCUGAUGCAGCAACGCCGCGUGCGGGAUGACGGCCUUCGGGUUGUAAACCGCUUUCGCCUGUGACGAAGCGUGAGUGACGGUAAUGGGUAAAGAAGCACCGGCUAACUACGUGCCAGCAGCCGCGGUGAUACGUAGGGUGCGAGCGUUGUCCGGAUUUAUUGGGCGUAAAGGGCUCGUAGGUGGUUGAUCGCGUCGGAAGUGUAAUCUUGGGGCUUAACCCUGAGCGUGCUUUCGAUACGGGUUGACUUGAGGAAGGUAGGGGAGAAUGGAAUUCCUGGUGGAGCGGUGGAAUGCGCAGAUAUCAGGAGGAACACCAGUGGCGAAGGCGGUUCUCUGGGCCUUUCCUGACGCUGAGGAGCGAAAGCGUGGGGAGCGAACAGGCUUAGAUACCCUGGUAGUCCACGCUGUAAACGGUGGGUACUAGGUGUGGGGUCCAUUCCACGGGUUCCGUGCCGUAGCUAACGCUUUAAGUACCCCGCCUGGGGAGUACGGCCGCAAGGCUAAAACUCAAAGGAAUUGACGGGGCCCCGCACAAGCGGCGGAGCAUGCGGAUUAAUUCGAUGCAACGCGUAGAACCUUACCUGGGUUUGACAUGGAUCGGGAGUGCUCAGAGAUGGGUGUGCCUCUUUUGGGGUCGGUUCACAGGUGGUGCAUGCCUGUCGUCAGCUCGUGUCGUGAGAUGUUGGGUUAAGUCCCGCAACGAGCGCAACCCUUGUUCACUGUUGCCAGCACGUUAUGGUGGGGACUCAGUGGAGACCGCCGGGGUCAACUCGGAGGAAGGUGGGGAUGACGUCAAGUCCUCAUGCCCCUUAUGUCCAGGGCUUCACGCAUGCUACAAUGGCUGGUACAGAGAGUGGCGAGCCUGUGAGGGUGAGCGAAUCUCGGAAAGCCGGUCUCAGUUCGGAUUGGGGUCUGCAACUCGACCUCAUGAAGUCGGAGUCGCUAGUAAUCGCAGAUCAGCAACGCUGCGGUGAAUACGUUCCCGGGGCUUGUACACACCGCCCGUCAAGUCAUGAAAGUUGGUAACACCCGAAGCCGGUGGCCUAACCGUUGUGGGGGAGCCGUCGAAGGUGG
rnacentral:rRNA from 1 species